AGAAAGAGAAAAACAACCUCAACAAAUGUCAAACCAAAAAAUUAAAAAAAAUAUAUCAAGGUUUUGAAGUCACAUGAAUGUGGAGCUGUUGACGAAUUACCCCGCUUUGACUUCAAAUUUUUAAUAUAAAAUUAAAGAAAUUGCAAGCCAUUCACAUCUUAUCUUUCCUCAGUCAUGGACACGACAACGUCCUCCCCUCCUCACUCCAUUUUACCUCCUGAAAGUCGGCUCCUUCUCAAACAACACUCUGCUGGAAAUCUAGGCUCCUCUACAACAAAUCAGCGUAAACAACCUCUUCAUCUAACUCUAGCAAAACAAUGGAGUUUAGCCCCAACGGAGUCAGAUCUAGAAGAAAAUUCAAACCAUAGUUUGCUUCAAAUCAAACUUAUUCAGAAAAAUCAUUCACUUUUAAAAAAUCUGAAUCAAUUGCAUUCACCCAGAUAUAGGGAUAUAGGAAAAAAGCUAUGCAAGACAAUGAAUCUAGCUAAGACGACUGAGCAUUCCUUGAAGGAAACCACAACUCUUUUGGAUAAAACUGCAGAAAUGCAUAAAGAAAGUGUUGAGACAUUAGAUUCGAUAUUGCAAUUUGCAUCUACAUAUCGAUUUCCAGAUUAGUUGGAAGAGGUAGACUGACUCUACGAAUAUUCUCAUCUUGUUAUUUUAGCUUCAAAUGCUGCUUUAUUAUUUAUAAAUAUCUAUACAUUAUAUAUUUUUAGUUAUUCAUCGUUAAAAAUUUGACACUUUUUAAUUAAAUAUUAGUAUCUAUACAA
rnacentral:lncRNA from 1 species